rnacentral:tRNA from 1 species
GCCAGGUUGCCCGAGCGGCCAAAGGGAGCGGACUGUAAAUCCGCCGGCAUUGCCUUCGCUGGUUCAAAUCCAGCACCUGGCACCA